CACAUACUCGAGCGUCGUACAAAGGGCACGUGGUUCAUUAUGGGAGCAGUAGGUUAUGAGUCGCUGCGAUUGAUUACCAUGGAAAACUUUAGCCACGUGAAGUUCACGGAGGACGCCUUUGCAGAAAUUUGAUAAACUGUUCGCGGUCUAUAGUCUAUUGGUGGGCGAAUAUUUUAAGAGCAAAUGUCAGCUGAAGAUACUGCUUUGCGAUAGCGCUGACGUUACAGAAAUUGGAUUAGGUUUCUUCUUUUCUCCCUUUUUUUUACAAGGCUCCAUCCAAAACUUUUCCCUUGCGUGAAGUUUAAACAACCAUCGGAGGCAAAAACUUACGGAAGUAAAAUAAAAACCGCUCGCCCUGCACGAACGUCCGCCGGGAAAAGCUGAAACUCCGCAACUCACCAGCUCCUGUGUGUCAUGCAGAGCAACUUUUCCGGCCAAACAACAAACGGGCGGCGAGCCUCGGCGAUAGGGCAAACCUAUUGAUGUAAUGACUCAAGCCUCGGUUUUAACUCGGGAGGAUCAAUUUACAUUCUGUCUAAAGAAUAGGCGUACCUCAUGUUCCAGAGCCCCGGAUGCCCACGGCGACCUGUGCCGGUAAGGCACACGUUCUACGGCCUAAAAAUUGUACCAAAAGUUUAAUGCGAAAGUUUGGCAUAA